rnacentral:tRNA from 1 species
GGGCUCGUGGUCUAGCUGGUUAUGACGUCGCCUUGACAUGGCGGAGACCGCCGGUUCGAAUCCGGCCGAGCCCA